rnacentral:pre_miRNA from 1 species
UGUUAAAAAUUCCAUCCAUUUCAACUAUUAAAAACGGGUCACUAUUUGUCAGCAUGAGGUACACAUGACAUGCCACGUGUCAAUAUCUAGUUAUUCCUACAACCUCGCCAGUUUUUAAUAAUACAAAUAGAUGAAAUUUUUAAUA